rnacentral:RNase_P_RNA from 1 species
GGAAGCAGGUCGGCAAUCGCUGUAUGCCUUGCGUAUACAGAGGAAAGUCCGAACUCCGAAGGGCAGGGUGCCGGAUAACGUCCGGUGUUCCGGCUGUAAUGGCUGGGAUAAGGAAAGUGCCACAGAAAAUAUACCGCCAUGAACCCCACGUGGUUCAGGGUAAGGGUGAAAAGGCGAGGCAAGAGCUCACCGCUACGGCCGUAAGGACGGAGGCACGGUAAACCCCAUCCGGAGAAAUGUCGAGCAGAGGCAUUAAAGUGGCCCGCUGAGCCUCGGGUAGACAGAAUGACGCGUCCGGGCAACCGGUGUGCAAGAUUAAUGAUUGCCAAGUACAGAAUUCGGCUUAUGGCCUGCUUCCAAAA